AGAGGUUCAACAUUCAAUUUUGAGCGUCUCGUUAUAUUACGAGUCUCAUUCAGACAUCCGAGUAAAAAGUUAUUGUCGUUUGAAUUAUCUCAGAGUUUCAACAUUCAAUUUGGAGCGUCUCGUUAUGUUACGGGACUCAAUCAGACAUCCGAGUAAAAAGAUAUGGUCGUUUGAAUUAGCUCAGAGCUUCAACAUUCAAUUUCGAGCGUCUCGAUAUGUUACAGGACUCAAUCAGACAUCCGAGUAAAAAGUUAUUGUCGUUUGAAUUUGCUCAGAGCAUCAACAUUCAAUUUCGAGCGUCUCGAUAUAUUACGGGACUCAAUCAAACAUCCGA
rnacentral:lncRNA from 1 species